AUUGAACGCUGGCGGCAUGCCUAACACAUGCAAGUCGAACGAGUGGCGGACGGGUGAGUAAUGUCUGGGAAACUGCCCGAUGGAGGGGGCUAACUACUGGAAACGGUAGCUAAUACCGCAUAACGUCGUAUGUGCCCAGAUGGGAUUAGCUAGUCGGGGGGGUAACGGCUCACCUAGGCGACGAUCCCUAGCUGGUCUGAGAGGAUGACCGGCCACACUGGAACUGAGACACGGUCCAGACUCCUACGGGAGGCAGCAGUGGGGAAUAUUGCACAAUGGGCGCAAGCCUGAUGCAGCCAUGCCGCGUGUAUGAAGAAGGCCUUCGGGUUGUAAAGUACUUUCAGCGAGGAGGCGUUAUUCGCAGAAGAAGCAACGGCUAACUCCGUGCCAGCCGCCGCGGUAAUUC
rnacentral:rRNA from 1 species